CUGCCGCUCGGCCGCUCGCGGUCGCGCCCUCUGCGGCUCGCACCUCCUCGUCGCCGGCAUUCAGCGGCUCGUUUUCCUCCUUCCUUCCGUAGAUUUGGAUACGAUACCUGCAUUCUCAGUAACUGAAGUGAGAGGUUCUUCAUGGACUUGGUAAAACAGUUAUGACUAACUGGAAUCAGAGGUUCUUGUCAGUGGGUUCAUCAGUGGAGUGUGAAACUGAAGACCAGUGAGUAGAAAGAAAUAUGAAACUUAAGUCCAUCAAGAAGGAAGGAAGGAAUGCAUGAUGACAAGUGAGCAACUCACUGUGUGCAUACUACACAGCUAGUUUUAGCAGUUUGAGAAGCAUGGUACAGAUGGAGGCAUUUGUCACCAGGUAAGAUGAAGCGGGCAAGAUGACCAAAUGUAAACCGAGGGAAUAAUAUCUUCUCACUCACAUUUAAUGCCUGCAGAAAAGGAGAUCUGAAAAAAAAAUAAAGUCAAGAGACGCCAACGCCAGUGGCAUCUCUGUGGUGGAGAAAGAGCAUCCUAGGAGUCUGACGCCCAUGCUAUGGGCCAAAAAGGUCGAGCACUUUUCCGGACAUCAAACGGAGCGCCCAUGCUGGGAGCAAUGCCUCCGCCACCUUCAAAGGGACCGAAGAACUGAACCUGCAGUGAACUUAACUGUGAGUAAGAAUUCAGUGGUAGUAGCUUUCUAGUGCAUCUGCUGCUGCAGGUUUGGAGCAGAUUUCGAGUCACCGACAGCAACGACAGGGCCAGUUGGUGCAUUAUAAUACUUCUCUGUGAUCUUUGGAGAUCUAAGGCGUAUCUGCGGACGAGCCUAAAAAGCUUUCUUAAGAGGCCUCCUCAAAUUAUAAAGUCCCCUCAGGUCGAUAGCGGCCAGCACAAAAGGUCAGGGCAGAGGGAGGGAGGCUACAGGGGGCAAUGUGGCGCCCUGUUUGUUGGGGGUGGGGCCUCCCCGGCCGGGCUAAGCUAGGCUAUGCGGCCUCCCGGAUGUGGCAACUAGAUCUGCACAUUUCCAUGCGACAGCUAGCGUUACUCUCGCUCGCCUACGCCUCCCACUUUCUACGUACCCCUCUUGAGGGCCACAUCUCCACUCCUUGUUUUUUUAUCCUAAAAUGAUUUUAUCUUUUAUCAGUUUUGUUUAUCUCAUGAAAAAAUUAUUUCUAGUGUCAUUAUGCUGAAGUCUGAUAGAGUGUAAGUCCAUUGGAUUUAAAAAGUAAAUAAUAUUUUAGUCGUCUGAUUAUUGAUAUAUGUAAGAUAUGGAAAAUUUGAUGUUUUCUUUUUUGGACUUAGCAGUAUUGAGAUAGGGGUGUAUAUGAACCAUAUUUUAACCGGAGGGUGUAUAUCGUUGAC